GAGGAGACGUGCAGUUGGUGCUGUUUGCUUCAUUUUAGGUGCUGCGGGGACAGGUGUUCACAAAAGCCUCUCACUGCCAACGUGGAGGCUCCUGCAGCACUCACAUCCACUUGGACAAGGCACGGGGCUGUGUGCCCAGUCCCAGGACGCUACACUCAGAUGUACCGUGCAUUAAUAAUGCCUGAUACGCGCUGUAAAUAUUUUAAAGGUAGGGGCAAUGAAUGUUAAACUAACCAGUUGUGCCUUCCUCCACAGCUGAUAGAUAGUGACUUCGCUUUUGUGUGUGUUAGAUGCAAUUUAAAAGAGCUGAACAUCCAAUAUGGAUGAGAGCGAUUGUGAGGCAGCGCGCUCCUGCUCUUUGAAAUUGGACUUCUGAUGUCUUCUUCUUUCUGCUCAGAUAAAGUAACUAUUGAAUACAUUAUCAUUCUCAGAGGAGACUUUUUUCCCUGUUCUUCUGGAUGAAGUGUGUCUUGCUGGCCCAGUUUUUAAAGGCAGAACAACUUCCACCUGCAGGAGAUGCUGGAUAUAUAGCAAACGGCUUAAUUCGGCCACGCAGCUCAAGCCACUGCUGCAUGUUUGGUUGCAUGGCUGUGUUCAGGUAACCUGCUUAUUAAUUACCCCUUUGUGCACCAAGAGGAUGAGAACAAGUCUUUUAGAAAAUAUUUACAGGAAGAGAUCAGUGCUCUCUGAACCCCAGAAAUGCCCCAAAAAAUUCCACGUAUGUACUAGAGGCGGUGGAAGGAGCUCCCCUUUUAGGAGCGGAUCACUUCUAAAGGCUCGAGCUGAUGGCAAACAGGCGGUUGUGCACACAGCAGCCGGUACGUGGCCGUCACAGGCUGGGGCAACUGAGGGCAGUCCCAAGGUCUUGGAGGAGAGAAUCGCAAAGUGUUGUAUCGAGGGCAAAGGAAAGGAAAUAGGCUGGCUUGUGCUUCCAACUGACAGCUCAAAAAAUGGUGUUGAGGGCUGCCUGGGAGGAGAUGGGGAAGGAAAAAGAUUGUCUGGGGGUGAUUUUUGGAAGAGGUUCAUGAAUGAUGUGCAUGAAGCUGCUCUGUCUCGAGGCCUGGCUGUGGACGGGGUGACCUGUGCAGGUGUUUCCUAUCCUAUUUCAUACGAGUGCUGCGACGUCCUGGCAAGCUGACGGUGCAGCCCUGUGCAGCAGAAUAACGGUGGUACCUGGCAUGCAGCAUCCCAGAAGCGAUUUAAAAAUAGAUCUAGAAAAGAGGUCAGACAAACUCCACAUGGACAAGGGUAGAAAUUAAUGAUACGUUUUCCCUGCACGUAUCCGUGCAGAUGCACGCCGUGCAUGCUGAUGUGCAGCGAACAAGGGGUGGGGGGGAGCCAGAGGCUGAGCACAGCCACGGGUGCGGGAGGAGAGGAAUCGGCACGGGUGCUCCGAGCCCUCCUUGUACUGCUUUCUAUUGAAACGAGCACUGUCCUUCUAGUCAGUCAAAUCCUGAUUGGUUUACAAGCAAACUUACAGCUAGUUCUCCGUCGGAAUGGACGUGAAGGAGAGCAGCCUUGCUGUGACGGAACCGACUGCGGGGUGAUCUCCACGUGAGUUGUGAGUGCAGCCCGGGCAAUGCUGCCACCUCCGAGGAGCAGAGGAGCAAGCAGCUGGCAAAGAGCCCUUCAGCCACUCCUCAAUUAC
rnacentral:lncRNA from 1 species